AGUGAACGCUGGCGGUAGGCCUAACACAUGCAAGUCGAACGGCAGCACAGUAAGAGCUUGCUCUUACGGGUGGCGAGUGGCGGACGGGUGAGGAAUACAUCGGAAUCUACUUUUUCGUGGGGGAUAACGUAGGGAAACUUACACUAAUACCGCAUACGACCUACGGGUGAAAGCAGGGGAUCUUCGGACCUUGCGCGAUUGAAUGAGCCGAUGUCGGAUUAGCUAGUGGGCGAGGUAAAGGCACACCAAGGCAACGAUCCGUAGCUGGUCUGAGAGGAUGAGAGCCAACAUGGGAACUGUGAGACGGUCAGUCCUCAUAGGGGAGGAAGCAGUGGGGAAGAGUGCGAAAGGGCAGAAGGCCUGACGGGCAAAAGUGGGGGGAGAGAUGAAGGUCUUCGGAUCGUAAAACUCUUUUAUGGGGAAAAAAAAAAUGUGAAAGUAACAAUGACGUUCUGGAGGGUACCUAAUAAGAAAGACACGGCUAACUCCGUC
rnacentral:rRNA from 1 species